UGGGGAAUAUUGGACCAUGGGCGCAAGCCUGAUCCAGCCAUGCCGCGUGAGUGAAGAAGGCCUUAGGGUUGUAAAGCUCUUUCAGUCGUGACGAUGAUGACGGUAGCGACAGAAGAAGCCCCGGCUAACACCGUGGCAGGUGCCGCGGUAAUACGGAGGGGGGAAGCGUUGUUCGGAUUUACUGGGCGUAAAGGGCGCGUAGGCGGGGUAUCCAGUUAGGGGUGAAAGCCCGGGGCUCAACCUCGGAACUGCCUUUAAAACGGAUACUCUGGAGUCCGGAAGAGGGUCGCGGAAUUCCCAGUGUAGAGGUGAAAUUCGUAGAUAUUGGGAAGAACACCGGUGGCGAAGGCGGCGACCUGGUCCGGUACUGACGCUGAGGCGCGAAAGCGUGGGGAGCAAACAGGAUUAGAUACCCCGUAGUCC
rnacentral:rRNA from 1 species